rnacentral:lncRNA from 9 species
AUCGAACCUGCAACCUCAUGGUUCCUAGUGCGAUUCAUUAACCACUGUGCCACAACGGGAACUCCUCUAUUUACUUUGGAUUUCAUCUGCCCUUCUUUUCUAGUUUGCUAAGGUGGAAGAUUAUAAAUUUUAGAUCUUCUUUUCUAAUACAUGCACUCAAUGCUAUACAUGCAUUCAGUGCUUUUCCUGGAUCCCACAUAAGUUGAAUUUUCAUUUAGUUCAGGAGUUUUCUUUGGCUGCUCAUGGCAGGAGCCAGGGAUAGAACCCACACUACAGCAGCGACCCAAACCACUGCAGCGUUAGUUCAGAAUUUGAAAAAAAAUUUCUCUUGAGACUUCUACUUUGACCCAUGUGUUAUUUAGAACUAUGUUGUUCAAUCUUCUACUAUUUGGGGGUUUUCCAGCUAUCUUUCUGUUAUGGAUUUCUAGUUUAAUUCCAUUGUGGUCUGAGCGUAUACUCCGUAUGGUUUCUGUUCUCUCAAAUUUGUUAAAGUGUGUUUAAUGUCCCAGAAAGUUGUCUUUCUUGGUGAAUGUUCCGCGUGAGCUUGAGAAAAAUGUGUACUCUGUACUGAUUGGAUGAAGUAAUCUAUAGAUGUCAGCAGAUCUGACUGAUGUUCAGUUCCACUAUGUCCUUGCUGAUUUUUCUGCCUGCUGGUCAGUCCAUUUCUGAUGAGGGGUGUGGGAGUCGCCAGUUAUCAAGAAUGGAUUGGUUUACUUCUUGCAACUCAAUCCAUCUUUGCCUCACAAAUUUGACGCUCUGUUGUUAGGUGCAUCCACGUGAAAGACUGUUGUACCAUCGUGGGGAAUUACAUUAUCACGUAAUGCCCCUCUUUAUCCCUGAUCACUUUCUUUACCUCCACUCUGCAGCUGGAAGGCAGGUGCGCACCGGCUGCCUUAUCCGUGUCCAGGUCCACUCCCGCUAUGGCCUUUCACCUCGGUGCACCGUCUAAUCUGCCAGGAUGAAACCGUUCACUUUUCCUCCAAACUCCUCACCUUCUGCAGCUUGGACACGGAGUCGAAGCUCUUUUCACCCUCGGUGGGCAACAUGCAAGUGAAUUUGUCGUCGUCAAAGUCUUUCCGGAGCUUCACCGCCUUCCGCAGCUCCACCGGACUCCGUGGUUCCACAAACCGGGAGCUGGCCCUCCAAGCGCGGCCGCUGGGACGAGGGCGCGAGGCCAGCGGGCUCCCAGCCCCUCCACAGCCAGGCUCGCGCCCAUCGCGGCCGUUAAGGAUGUUGAUUCCUUGCCAAACUGCCAUCGGGUAAGCCAGUCACCGAUGUGGGCUCCUGUCAGAGAUCGUUCACUUAUUGCAGGAGAAAGAUUGGAUCUUACUUUGGAUUGCUCAAUUACAUACAUCUCUGCAAAGGCCAGAUGGAUUGUGGUGAAUAACAGCAGAUUAUCAACUUAACCAGAUGGACAUUCCAAAUAAGCUGAUGUUCAACCUGUCAUUGCUUUGUUGGAGCAAAUUGACGCAUUCUUUGGCGCCUGGUCUAUCAAAGUUGGAAGUAGGUUACCUCCUGGAUUUUCUUUAUAUAUAUAUAUAUAGUACAUGUCAAACCACAUAUAAUCAGAAAAAAGUAAGGAAAGGUAGCCUGAAAGCUGCACCCUAAAUUAACCUGCAGUAUUUGGGGAUCCUAGUGGACAAGAGGCUCACUGUUUGGUGUGGAGAUUCUUACUUGUUCCCGUGUUUUCAGCACAGUUUUACUGCCUAUGGGGGGAGGCUGGGGCCCUAGAGACCAGAGCUUUGUUGAAUGAACAUUUCCAGGGAGUAAACCUCUAGUCUUCAGUCAGUGGGGAGGGGGUAUGUGUGUUCAGACUUGCAGUGACUCCCCUGGUUUUUCACCCACUGGACCCACCACAGGGGCCCUGCAGCCUCCAGUCCAGAGCUCCUGAGGGUCCGCAGUAGGGAAGAGCCUGCUCACGCUCUGCUGCUGCUGGUUAGACUCUGGCUUUCUCACGUUUGCUAAAAAGUUACUGACUGAUCGCACACACACAUUCUUGCUUCCAAACCUUUGUUGCUAUUGUCUCCCUGCCACUUCUAUUUAUCCUUGUGAUUUGACUUUGUAAAUUAUUCCCUUUACUAUUAUUUCAGUAGUAUUAUAAGAGGGCGUGGAGGUAAGUUUUUUGCUCAUUUUUUGAUAAUUGGUGGGAAGUAGCUCAUAAAAUUCUUAUCACAUUUUGUGUACUAUUUAAAUUUAAUCUAGCACUCUCGAACCCUUAGAGCAGAGUAACUGUUUAAUGCAUGUGUGAAUGUAUGUGUGUGUGUGUGUGUGUGUGUGUAUGUGUGUGUUGAGGAUAAGAGGGAAUCAUUGCUAGACUCAAGUGUUUGACCCU